AUCCAGUUAUUCAUUCACAUUAAAUUUUCAAGAAACAAGUACUACUUCAUGUCAGCCAUUAUGCCUAAACAAAAGAGAAAAAUAAACAUCCAAAACUGAAUGAUCUAAACCGCUGAAGUUACAAUAUGAGAAAGCAAAAAACAAGAAUUAGUCUAAUGCUAAAACUACACUGAAUAUCUUGGUAUAAUGUUGUUAUAAUGGCUAAUGAUUAGGGACAUGGUAGAUUUUCCAACGACAACAAGAAGUUGCAAGUUGAAUAUAUGGAAGCAGCAGCAGCCCCAACAGCCAAUCCCCUUUCUGAGUUAUUGGCUUCCCCUAAUCUGCAGCAAAAUAUACGACAAACUAGUUUUAAGAACUCAAUAAUAAAUGCUAUGCAGAAUAUAUCAUUCAUUUCCACAAAAAUAAAAUAAAAUGCAGUCAGACGUGUAGGAAGACUGCUUGCAUAUGAGUGUAAACUAAACCACCAUGUUAAUGUUUACUAAACCACUGUUAUCAAAGCUUUGAAAUAAUAUGGUGCUUGAAUAUAAUGUAAAUGU
rnacentral:lncRNA from 1 species